ACUCCUACGGGAGGCAGCAGUGGGGAAUAUUGGACAAUGGGCGAAAGCCUGAUCCAGCAAUGCCGCGUGAGUGAUGAAGGCCUUAGGGUUGUAAAGCUCUUUUACCCGGGAUGAUAAUGACRGUACCGGGAGAAUAAGCUCCGGCUAACUCCGUGCCAGCAGCCGCGGUAAUACGGAGGGAGCUAGCGUUGUUCGGAAUUACUGGGCGUAAAGCGCACGUAGGCGGCUUUGUAAGUCAGAGGUGAAAGCCUGGAGCUCAACUCCAGAACUGCCUUUGAGACUGCAUCGCUUGAAUCCAGGAGAGGUGAGUGGAAUUCCGAGUGUAGAGGUGAAAUUCGUAGAUAUUCGGAAGAACACCAGUGGCGAAGGCGGCUCACUGGACKGGUAUUGACGCUGAGGUGCRAAAGCGUGGGGAGCAAACRGGAUUAGAUACCCUGGUAGUCCACGCCGUAAACGAUGAURACUAGCUGUCCGGGCACUUGGUGCUUGGGUGGCGCAGCUAACGCAKUAAGUUAUCCGCCUGGGGAGUACGGUCGCAAGAUUAARACUCAAAGGAAUUGACGG
rnacentral:rRNA from 1 species